UCUUUGCUUUCAACAUCUAAAUAUCUAUAGAUGGGGUGUUACUGGAAAUCAUGUGACUUCCUGAAGUUUAGCUUCCCCUGCUUGUAAACACAUGUAGGAAUUUCACUUUCUGAUCGCUGGAAACUAAAAGUGAGAUACUUCUCAGUAAACUUUUGCUCUACAAAAAAAUUAUGUUCAUGAAAAUAAUUUCCUCAACUUACGCUAAUCUUCUUAAAACUGCAAUAUUCAGCCAUAACCUUCUUUUACAAAGCUCGGACGUGUCGGCACAAAGCCAAGAGAUAUCUGCCUAGACACACCAGGCUGGAAUUUGGGGAAUGUAAAGUGGAAGCUUAGCCGUAGUGGCAGCACCUGGGAGCAGCCAGCCUUCAUACCCACCUUUGGAAAACACAGAAUAUAAGUCUCAAGUCCAGGGGGAACCAGUUCAUACGAAUCUCUGAAAGGACCUACCACCAUCCGUGCAGUUGAAGGGAUCAAGUUACUGAAGAGCAGUAGAGGAGAAAGACAUUUGGGGUCUGUGCUUUUGCACCACUCAGGCACGCCCCCCACCCCAUUGUAGCAGAGAAGAUAACGCUCCAGCCAGAGAACUUGUUUCCAAUGUCAGCCUGUAACCAGCUUACGCCUGAAGAAAAAAGAGACUGAUCAGCCAUUGUGGUCUUUAUCCUGGCAGUUGAAUAGCCUGCGUGAAUAUCAACAUUAUCAUAAAUCACUCAAUUGCUGAAAGUCAUCUUCCCCUCAGAAGGAGCUGAAUAGCAACCGUUUCUAAAUCCUUAUGUACAUCCAUUUACAGCAGCUGAGCUGUGGGAGUAUAUAGACCUAUUUUUCAGCUAGCAUGGUAAUCAAGCCAUUCCUCAUUUAAGAGUGGAUUCAUUUGCCUCGGUAUUAGUCCCAAAUAAUAGUUCCAGAAAUUGAUAUGUAAUCUCCAACUAAAACUAAGUUUAAGCUGAGGCCACCAGGCUCCUUUAUUCCUCAAAACACAUUUAAAGUCCCCAGCCAGACUCUCAUCUUGGUCUGAAUCUGAACAUACUGCAUCACAAUUUGAAAGCCACCGCUUUAAACGGGUGUUUCUCAGUAGCCCCAGUCUAGCCAUAAAGAUCAGAAUCUGUCCUUAAUAUCUCUGCACACUGGUACUGUGCAGAACUAGCUCCAGACUAUUUAUAGCUCACACUAUAUAUAAACACUGCAGCUUCUAAAAGCAUAUUUUAUCUUUUGGGAGGACAAUGCUUUCAGAAACGUAAUAAAAGGCAAAGUUUUGUUAAAAAAAAAAGAAAAAAAUCUGCUCAAACCCUUAACCUGGAAGAGUGGCCCCAUGCUGCCAAUCAGAUAAUAAGCUUAAUUAUUACAUCACACUUUAUUUGUAGCUCACUGUGUAGUUAAUGGUUGCAGCUUAUCUAACAGGAGAAAUGUGAAACCAGAGUUUUAGAACAAUAGAAACAAGGCUGUCACCAGCAGGCUGCCAAUGAAUCACGGCCCCGCAGUCAAGUUCCCCCAGAAGGUCAUCUGUAACAGAAAUACAUCUCCGCCUGGAGCUGGCAAAACGCUGAAAAGUGUUUCUCAGAUUUACCCUAAUAAAAUAUCCAGCAGAUCCAUUACCAGAACAACUUCACCUGGUUGUAUUUUUAAGUUCUGUUGAUUGCAAGACUUAAUAGUAAAGGUUACCGAGCGAGCAGGACGCUUGCUUCUGUGCCUGGGAUUCUAGAGCGGGUUUUACCUUAACCCUAAAUUCAAGACCUCUAAACCUCAAGCUUUUACAAACCUUACGGGAAAAGUGAUUUACUGUUCUCUUUUACAUUUUCAAAAAAAGAAAAAAUUAUUUUUAAACACUAAGUAACUUUCUUCCAUACCAUUCAGAACUGAAACCCUGAAACCACGACAGACAGCGAGGUCUGUGAAAAGGAUUCGCCAAGACACAGAAAGCAGCGCUGACGCUUUCAUGUCCAGAGAGAUAUGCAGAAAAAGAACAAGGAAGUACAAAAAAAAAAAAAAAAUCAGGUACUACCUGUGCCAUAAAUAUGGAAACUGGUUUUGCUCAUACAUAAUUAUUUUGAAGUAACUGCUCUGUCUGCAGCUUAAAGACAAAAAAAAAAAUUUCUUCUGCUGCACUCGCAAAAGAGCUCCAGAUUUUCUGCAAGAGGGAAAAGAACAGAUGAUGGGGGGAGCUGUUCUUUUCAGACGAAUGUCAUUGGCACAAACAGCUGGCAGUUGGUAGCAUAUUAUUUAUACGUGCAGUUGCUCAUGUUUUUUAACAGAUAAGAAAGCAAUAUCUCAUUUGCAAUUCAGGUGAGGCACAUGAGUGGCUCUACAGCGCCACUGGCCCCUGGGCCAUGUUUCUUAUCGUAUCAGAAACAUCUGUCACGGUGCAAAUGAGUUCAUUAUGAAAGCAUAUCAAAUAUGCAGUUUCAGGAUGAGACAGCAGCCUGCAAAGGAACCAGAAAACCAGCCUCCCCCUGCAAAAGCUGGGAUGGUCUGUCCCAUAGUCACCAGCUGGGAGGAGGGCAAGCACUGGGAGGGGUACGAGGGAGAAAAAGAGAGAGAAACCUCGGAAGUGUCACGAUUAUAAAUUAUCCCUUCUGUAGGAGCCGACUGCGUCUGAGAACGGGCUUGCUCAGGAGGGCCUGGCGGUUCACACAGAGCAUGCAGACACGCUGCAAAAUGAUUGUCACAUCGCUCCACACCAAGUCCUCUGCUCCUCCAGGCUGCAACGGACCUCACUAAUGCUGGCCUUUGCGGUCCAGAGGACUUUCCUUGACAAAAUACCAAUAGGACGGCUACAAAAGAUACAUGGGGAGGUGGUCAGCGUGGGGGUUACAAUUAGAAGUGCACUUGUGGGGGCUCCGUGGCCAGAGAUGGAAACGAAUCCAUUUUAAGGGCAGCAGACUGUAAGAUGACAGGAGCUUCCACUUCCAGGGAAGUCAAGGUGCAUCUUUGAUCCCGGCUGAGAAGAAAAACAGGAUGCAUUGGAAACCGCUCACACCCCCACGUUCAUCUCCGCUGUAAUGCUGCACCUGGCACAAAUUUAGAAUGCAAUGAUUUGUAAUAUGGGCCGUGUUUGUCUCUAGUGGUGUUCUCCAGGGCUGGGUCUCAUACCCCUGUGAGUACAACAACGUUUUUGUCCUCUCUUUAGCAGGGACGAAGUCAGCUCAAGGUGACUUCAGAAUCCCUUGUGCCUAGAAGAGGCCUAGAAAUGCCUGUGUAGCUCUGGAAGCAGGCGGCUGGAUUGAGACCCCCAUCUGUGUCGCGCUGAGUCACCGCUACCUGCUGUGCCUUUGGGCUUUUAUUGAAAAAUACAAGAGAAAAACGACCGUGUCUUUUGCUCUUGCUGAGAAACCCCUCUGAACUUCAGCUGAUGCACAGGGGAGAGCUGCGGACAGACCCUGGGCUGGACCAUUACCUUCUUUAGCCCCUGCACAGCAGCCAGGCACACGCUGCCUUUUCUGUCCCAUCAGAGACCGCUUUGGUGAGCCUGUGAUGGCGGCGGCUGCUGCACUUGUGGAUAAAAUGUGAAACAUCCUCAUUUUCCCCCCCAAAGGAGUACUAAAACCAGGCACGCGGCUUAAGGAAAACAGAGAAAAAUACCUAUUUUAACUUUGCUUCUAAUCACAAAACAUAUAUUCUUAAAUAUGCAUACAUCGGCAGAAACAGUGGGUAAGGGCUCCCGUUCUAAAACAAACAGAAACAUGCACUUUGAGCCCUCAUAUGAAAUGGCAGUAAAAGCCCAACCCAAUAAUUAUUUUCCUUGAUUUUGAGCCAGACGAGGCACAAGACAAAUAAGUCAUCAAGGACAAAUAAAAGGAGGUUCAUUCAUCGCAUUCAGGGCUGGAAUCUUUAAUGGUCACCAAAUGAACUAAGAUAACUAAGUAACCAUUGUAAAUAUUAAUCUUUAAAGGAAAACAAUACUCCCAACAACAGGAAGCCUGAUAAGACAUUGGAUGUUGCCAUCAGUGUUAUGGAGUCUCUCUAAUUUCCUUAGUUUUUUCUUAUGCCUGUAGAGGGAUCAGGAAGGGGAACAUAUGGUAUCUCUCAAAGGAAGUAAAUUAACAUUAUUAAUAGCUAAUGUGGGAGAGGUGAAACAGUGAUUGUUCGUGGUGGUUGUUAUUGUGCUUUUGUUGGGGGGGGGGGGAGCCUGCCUGCUAGUGAGUUUAAGCGCUCAAGCCAAAUUCAAAAUCUUGUAUUUAUAAACAGAGAUCUGAUAACAGUUGCCUAAGCAUCCAUGAUGCUUUGCCAGCGCACGCACGUCAAGCUGAUCUGAAAGGGACUGUGUCUUGGGGUUUGUCCUAGGAGUUAGCUAACGCAGAUGAGAACUUAUGGCACGGUGCCUGCUCCCGGAUGACUCCUCACGUGGACCCUCAUGUUCUUCUUCGCAUUAGUUUAGUUUGAAGCAGAAGGAACGAGGAUGGGUAGACCGGCACUUCUGAGGAAGAGCUGUCCUCUGGCAUCCACUGAGGCAGCUGGUCAAGGGGCCAUUGAGGAGGUGGGUUCUCACAGGCAGCGGUCACUGACAUGGGACAUCUACUGUCAAGUGCACAGUGAUGGCAUCAGCGGGUUUCUGAGGGCCGUGCAGCAGUGUGAUAUGCAAGUGGGAGAAUUAUUUUGUGGGAAGCGAUGAUAACAAAGUGCUGUAUUAGGAUGGAUUGAACUGGUGACCUGGAAGGGUCUCUCAGAGUCCUGGGACCGCUUGCAGUUUCCCUGCACUAAGAGAAUAAUUUCCCUUUCUCAGGCCUCUGCUUUCAUCUCUCUCCCAGAGUAUGUAGAGUAUUUAUUUACCCUAAAUAACAUUGACACUUAAAGAAUAUACGUUGUAAGCCGUUGCUACUCAAGAGAACGGGACCGUGAUCCCAGCCUCAGCUCUGUUUGUCCCAGAGCACCUGAAAGCAUAAAAUGCAUUUCUGAUUUUCUCAAGAGAUCCUAUACUUCCUGCUUUCUUCUCAAUCAUGAAAGCCUGAGACAAUUCCUAGCUGUCCUGGCAGAGGUGGACUUCAUGACACCUUUCAUGCUGAGAUGAUCUGCAAAAUUGGCAGAUCUCAGUAAAAACAAGAGGACUUGAUUAAAAUUACCCAGUGAGCUCAGUAGAUACAAGCAAUUUCUGGGGAAAUUGUUCAAUAAACUCUUUAGAAAGAAAACAGUGAAUUUUUGGUAUAAUUAAUUCACUGAAUCUUAAUAAAAAUUGAGUAGCCCAGUAAGAAAACCUCAUGCUUCAGGGCACGUGGUGAUUGCUUUAUACAGACAAAGGAAUUCUCUCUGCCCUUGAAAGCUUAUACUUCAACUGCAAGUUGACAGCUGGAUUUUGGUUUCUAGGCCUGAAGAGGACAACUUGAAUACCUUAAGACAGUAUAGACUUCAGCUAAACUUAGACAGGUGCAACUGCUCCGUAAGGAAACCAUACAACUCUCCUUGAAGAGAGAACUCAGUAAACUCUGAUUAUGUUUGUGUCUUAAAGCUGGUCUAAAAUACCUCUUCCUGGGUGAUGAUGGGAUAUUUUAUUUCUUAAGAAACUCAUCACAUUGACCAAAAAGUUCAUGAAAGGCUGACAGGGCUGUGCAUUGUUUGCUGGCGCUGUAGAGUUAUAUGACAAGGAUAAAUUGUUCUCUGUGCUGAAGCCUGGGUGGUUUAUAACAUCGUGAAGUUUUCCACACUGCCAAUUUUAGGGCCCUUUAGUAU